CCAACCAUCUGUGGUGAUCACUCCAUGCUCCUCCCUGAGUCUCAGGAGAUGGAGCCUGGCACGACAUCUCCCAGAAUUCCUUGCAGCAAGGUUCCAGAUGAGAUUGCAUCAAUGACAAGCACUGAGGUGCCAUCCAGAAGGGACACCGAUGGUGAAAGGCACAGAAUCGCAAUAGCUGGCCAGGUCAGCAGGGCAUCUUCCUGUGUGAUUGGCCAAAGCCUGUUUUGUUCCUUAGCAGGUCAGAGGGCAAACUCCUGCAAGCUCCUUCUAAAGCCCUCUGACGGUCUGGAAAGGAGCAAGGUGGUGAAUUCAGCACUUGGCCAGGGAAAAGCUGUACCUGCUUUAGAGCUGUAGGCUUGGG
ensembl:lncRNA